AGGGGUGCUGCGGCCGUGGUCCCAGCGGAGAUGCGUCCUCUCUGGAUGCUUCGUCCUGCAUCCUUGGGAAGCAGAGAGCUCUUAGGAGAGUCCUAGGAGGAGGGGCUUCAGCCCAGACCCUGAGCCCAGGGCCUGGGGAGGGGGCUCACACGACAGACCCAGAGCCCAGGCCCGAGGGAGGAGGCCCGCAGGACAGACUGACCCCAGGGCAGAGUGUGGCGGCCUAUAGGACAGCGGGGGAAGAAGAGCUGGACCGCAGCGGCCUCUGUGCGUCCCCCAGGAAUAAAAUACCCAGUCGGAAUGCAAGCGUGCGAAACCAGAGCACUGAACUCUCCAGAGAGAAGCAGGGUCACCGUGUUAGCCAGGCUCUCGUGCACCGCGGUGUCGCAGGACGUUGAGAUCACCGAGCACGUGAAGAGGCCGGACUUGGCUUUGUCAUAACCACCCUCAGCUAAGGUACCAGCUGAAACCGGAUCCCACCGCAUCCUGGUGCCGCCCCCCCUCCCCAGGUCAUGUCCAAGGCCCACAGGAGCUUCUCCCUGUCGGAAGGGACUGGGUGAGAGCACCCGGAUCCACGCCCUUUGUCCCGCGCAGCACAGGACGGCCAUGUCCCAGGAGUCGUUGACCUUCAGGGACGUGUCUGUAGAUUUCACCCUGGAGGAGUGGCGAUAUCUGGACUCGGCUCAGAAGACCCUGUACAGGGACAUCAUGCUGGAGAACUGCAGCCACCUGGUCUCCGUGGGUGAGGGAUCGCGCCCCAGUGUGACCGGACCCCACGCACGCGAGUACCCUCAGCUGGUACCUGCUCAGGGGCGCGGGAGGCCCCGGACAAGUUCCGACCUAAGGCUCACGGUCGGGAAGUCAGAGCCCCGUUUGCAGCCCACGCGGGCCACCAGCUGUCGCCCAGUCUGUGCUGCAGCACGCUGAGGGGCACAGCUGUCCCCUGGGGCGGGCACCCAGGCCGGACCGCCUUUGAUUAGCAGGGCUCCGUCUCGGUGCUGGAACCCACGGGGCAUCAGUAACCGAGUCCUGUGUCGUGUCCCCUCCUCGGGACACCUGGUAGCCAAGCCCGAUGCGGUCAGCAGAUGGGGACGAGGGGAAGAGGCCAGGACGGCAGAGGGAGAGACGCCACGCGGCACCUUCCGGGGGAGCAGGCGCUGGACCAGUCAGGCCAGGGGCGCUGGUGGGUCAGUGAGAGCCUGGCGUCAGGGGCCCGGCGGGAGCCUUGUCCAAGCCCCUAGACCCGGGGACGCAACGUGGGUUCAGUGAGACGAGCUGCUGUACCAUCCACGUGACAUCCCCUGGGUAGCCAAGGCAGGACCCAGCCUCCCCCUUCCGCUCCCCCUGCUUCUGGAAGCUUGCAGGACGCGUCCUCUGUCUCGGGCAUGUGCGUGUUGCUCAGAGGAGGUGCAGGCGGGGCGCAAUGGCUCUUCUUUCUCUCCUGCAUGUGGGCCCUUCACACUGACACCCAGAGUCUCCUUCGGCCUCGGGGGAUGACCCUGCCUGCUCACGUGGAGGUGGCGUGGACCCAGAGCUUUGCCAGUGACCGUCAGCUCGGCCAGGCAGGCGGCCACCGUGGCCGUGUCUGCGCGCAUGUUGUGCAGACAGUGUCGGCCUUCACAGGACCGUGUCCUCCCUGCUCAGGUCCUCGGUCUCUCCAGCCCUGACGCGACCCCGCCUGUCCUCAGGUUGCUGCUCGUGUCAGUGCUUGCCUCCCCCUCACCUGUGUCCUGUGUCGUCUCUUUAUUCACUGAGGACACAGGAGAACCCGAGGGGACGUUUCCCCGGGCGGCUCGCUCCAGGGCGCGCUGGCCUCUCCCUUGUUGUUUGCGGGGUGGUUUCGGGUGCUUUCGCUCUGGGCCCCUGGUGGGACCCGCACACUCUUCAGACGCCGCUCUUCCUCUGUGUCUUGCCCCACGCUCGGCAGACACCCCUGCACCCAUUUGUGGGGCGUCCGUGCGGAUGCGGGGCUCCCCCACAUGCUCUGGGUACCGGCAGCCGGGCUCGAGGCAGACGGUCACGCCCUGGGGUCCCCCUCAGGUUCACGGGUGAGAUCUGCUUUGCCGCGGCUGCGUGGAGCCCGGGGGCAGAGCCCUGGCCGUACUGGCCGCUGGCCCGGCCAAGCCCUCAUGUCCCCUGAUGGCUUCUCCCGGGCCCGUGACCACUGGGCUGCGCAACGACUCUCUCGGGGCCUCUCUGGUACUUUCUCCGUGGACGCCAUGUGUACGUGGAACAGGGGGGAGCUCUGCUGCUGUGGUUGCACAUCGUCAGCCAACCCUUUACCACCUCGUCCGGUGGGGGUGGCUUGCCCUCUGCCUGGUCGGACCCCUGGGAGACGCCUGCACCUCGUCUGUCCAGGUGUGAGGCUGCGGAACAUUCGGUGAAUCUUUUUCAUUUCGGACGAGGGCCGAGGAGGGGUUCGGGGUUCACCAACAGCCCAGUGGUUAGGAGCUUGGGCUCUGAGCUCACGGCCGGGGCUCCGAUGCCGGCCUGUUCUGUCCCUGGCUGGCCAUGCGCACACUGGCCCCGUCCCUUUGCCUGUGUGUGCAGGUGGCUACUGCUGGAACUUGCGGGAUCACCCGCGUUUAAUGAGUAAUGGACGUGAGCCUGGCCCCCGGAAGCUCUCAGUUAAAUGUCACUGUUGUUACUGGUGUGGACGCAAAAUAGCUCUUAUUAGGGUCAUUGUUAACCAGAGGUGUGUCACGGUGGCCUGGAGACCUCAGGGCACCCCACGGGGUGGCCCCGCCUGUGGUGGUGUUUUCAGAACGCCCGGGGCAGGACUGGGUUGUGCGUUUUGAGCGACACUCGGUAGUUCUGACUCUGAGUCUAGUUCAGAUCCAGAUUGUAACCAUCCCCUGAGGGGUUCAGGGCCGUGGGGAGCACAGAGCUCAGUGUGGCCUCCCCCCAGCCUGGGUUCAGGGGGGAUGGGCAGGCGGGAGGGUGCAGACUCCCUGCCUGGCAGCUUGCCUCCCUUCCCUCACUGCUCCAGACCUCGGGCUGCCUGGGGACUGCAUGUUCCCUGGACCCGGGUGGAAAUUUCGCGCAGCUCCCGUGAAUCCUCUGCUUGUGCUGAACUAUUUGAAAUUUUGUAGGAACGGCUGGUCUCAGGAGUGGCCUCAUGGUAGUAAUCACAGCUGUCCGAGCCCGGGCGGUGGCCUGCAGUCUCAAGUUCAUUGAAGGUUCUUGAGCUUUUCCCAGAAAGGUCUGUGCCUUUCUUCAUUUCCCCUGUCUUUGUUUUCUGGGGUUUUUUUCCUUCUCCUUUUACCUCUGUUUCCUUUUUUCUACUUACUUUGGGUCUACUUGGCUGCUCUUUUCUAGCUUUCUUCCCGACAGGAUUAUGAACAUUUUCACACCAAACAAGUGAAAGAAUCGUAGUUUGAGCACCCAUAGGAUUCCACCUAGGUUCUUCAGCGAACAGUUUGCUCUGUUUGCUUUUCUAUCUUCUGUGUCCUGAUUCCUCUGUCCUCCCCCUUUAUUUUGUGACGUGUUUCCUUGUAAGUUUCAGAGAUAGUACAUUUCACGCCUGAAUACUUCCGCAGGCAUAUCCUUAACUAUGUGUGUCCUUAAUGCUUAAUAGGCAUUUUAAUAAAAAAGAAAUUCCUAAGUAGCACCAUAUGGGAUUUGAUUGUACGUGGUAAUGUUUAAUCCCCAUAUCUAUUUCGUGUAUUUUCAUUAUAUAUUUAUGCUGAGAUGACCAUUCUUCUUUUAAGUUAUAUUUAUUGAGGUAUAAUUUAUAUACCGCACGUUCACCUUUCUUAGGUGUACAGUUCUGUACAUUUGACAGAGAUUAAGUCACGGAACCAAGAUCCUGGACCUUUUCAUUCCUCUAAAGCCUCUCCUUGUGCUUCUAUAUAAUUAAAGGUCUUCCUCACUCCCAAAUCUGGGAUUUGGAAAUGGAUUCUUCUCAUUUCUAUUCUUCUAGUUUUCUUCUGUCUAGAAUGUCAUUUAAAUGGAUCUUAUAGUAUCCUGAUUUAUGGGUCUUGCUUCUUUCACUUAAUGCUUUUCAGGGUCAUCCAUGUUUGACGUGUAUGAGCGUCUUAUCCUUUUUGAAGUUGAAUAAUGUUAUAUUUGCUUAUCUUGUGAGCAGUUUGUGUGCAUUGGAUUCUUUCUUAAUUUGGGGGCAUUGUGAAAGGAGCUGGUAUGAACAUUCACGUCCAGGUGUUUGCAUGGACACGUUUUCAUAUCCUUGGGUAAAUACCUGGAGUGGUAUUGCUUGGUCAUAUAGUAAAUGUAUGUUUAGCUUCCAAGAUAUUACCACGCAGUUUUCCGGCAUGGCUGUAGCAUUUUCAUUGACCAGCACCAGCGUGAGAAUUCUGGGUGUUUUGUAUCCUUGUCUGCACUUGGUAUUCUGAGUAUUAUUAGUUGUUCUUUUUCAUAGAUGUGUGGGAGUACCUUACUGUGAUUUGAACCUGCAUUUCUUCAAUAACGAACGGUUCAUGUCUUCUCACGCAUUUAUUUGCCAUCCAGACAUCGUGGGCGAACUGUCUAUGGUGAUGUUUUGCCAUUUUUGUUCCUAUUAAAUGGUAAGAGUUUUCUGUGCAUUCUAGAUGCAAGUCCUUUACCAGCUACAUGCUCUUUAUGUAUUUACUCUCAGGUUGUGGCUUGUUAGUGUCUUUCAAAAAAGGACAUUCUUAAUUUUGAUAACAUCCCGUUUCUCAAACUUGUCUUUUAUGGUUCAUGCCCUUUGUGCCCCAUUAAUUCUGUCUAAUCCAUGGUAACACAGAUUUUCUCAUAUGAUUUCCUUUGGAAGAUUGCCGGAGACCGAAACUGCGCAGGUCAUCCCUGAUGGCAAGGCCCAGGGAAAAACCUGUAGGAAAAGACUGCAAGGCAGCAGUCAGAAGAA